rnacentral:rRNA from 1 species
CGUAGGAGGCGAGCGUUAUCCGGAUUCACUGGGCGUAAAGCGCGUGCAGGUGGCGCGGUAAGUUGGGCGUGAAAUCUCCCGGCUCAACUGGGAGAGGUCGUUCAAUACUACCGUGCUUGAGAGCAGAAGAGGAAGAUGGAAUUUCCGGUGUAGUGGUGAAGUGCGUAGAUAUCGGGAGGAACACCAGUGGCGAAGGCGAUCUUCUGGUCUGUUUCUGACACUCAGACGCGACAGCUAGGGUAGUAAACGGGAUUAGAGACCCCGGUAAUCCUAGCCGUAAACGAUGUGAACUUGGCGUUGGUGGGUUAAACUCCAUCAGUGCCGAAGCAAACGCGAUAAGUUCACCGCCUGGGGACUACGGCCGCAAGGUUA